rnacentral:rRNA from 1 species
UGGGGAAUAUUGCGCAAUGGGCGAAAGCCUGAUGCAGCAACGCCGCGUGAGUGAUGAAGGUCUUCGGAUUGUAAAGCUCUGUCUUUUGGGACGAUAAUGACGGUACCAAAGGAGGAAGCCACGGCUAACUACGUGCCAGCAGCCGCGGUAAUACGUAGGUGGCGAGCGUUGUCCGGAUUUACUGGGCGUAAAGGGUGCGUAGGCGGAUGUUUAAGUGAGAUGUGAAAUACCCGGGCUUAACUUGGGUGCUGCAUUUCAAACUGGAUAUCUAGAGUGCAGGAGAGGAGAAUGGAAUUCCUAGUGUAGCGGUGAAAUGCGUAGAGAUUAGGAAGAACACCAGUGGCGAAGGCGAUUCUCUGGACUGUAACUGACGCUGAGGCACGAAAGCGUGGGUAGCAAACAGGAUUAGAUACCCUGGUAGUCCACGCCGUAAACGAUGAGUACUAGGUGUAGGAGGUAUCGACCCCUUCUGUGCCGCAGUAAACACAUUAAGUACUCCGCCUGGGAAGUACGAUCGCAAGAUUAAAAC